rnacentral:rRNA from 1 species
AUUGAACGCUGGCGGCAUGCUUUACACAUGCAAGUCGAACGGUAACAGGCCUUCGGGUGCUGACGAGUGGCGAACGGGUGAGUAAUGCAUCGGAACAUACCCAGUCGUGGGGGAUAACGUAGCGAAAGUUACGCUAAUACCGCAUACGUCCUGAGGGAGAAAGCGGGGGAUCGCAAGACCUCGCGCGAUUGGAGUGGCCGAUGUCAGAUUAGCUAGUUGGUGGGGUAAAGGCCCACCAAGGCGACGAUCUGUAGCGGGUCUGAGAGGAUGAUCCGCCACACUGGGACGUGAGACACGGCCCACGACUCCUACGGGAGGCAGCAGUGGGGAAGUUUUGGUACGAAUGGGGGAAACCCGUGAUCCAGCCAUGCCGCGUGAGUGAAGAAGG